rnacentral:rRNA from 1 species
AACGAACGCUGGCGGCAGGCUUAACACAUGCAAGUCGAACGCAUCCUUCGGGGUGAGUGGCAGACGGGUGAGUAACGCGUGGGAACGUGCCCUUCAGUUCGGAAUAACCCAGGGAAACUUGGGCUAAUACCGGAUACGUGCGAGAGCAGAAAGAUUUAUCGCUGAAGGAUCGGCCCGCGUCUGAUUAGCUAGUUGGUGAGGUAAUGGCUCACCAAGGCGACGAUCAGUAGCUGGUCUGAGAGGAUGAUCAGCCACAUUGGGACUGAGACACGGCCCAAACUCCUACGGGAGGCAGCAGUGGGGAAUAUUGGACAAUGGGCGCAAGCCUGAUCCAGCCAUGCCGCGUGAGUGAUGACGGCCUUAGGGUUGUAAAGCUCUUUCGUCCGGGACGAUAAUGACGGUACCGGAAGAAGAAGCCCCGGCUAACUUCGUGCCAGCAGCCGCCGUAAAAC